AAUCAACGCUGGCGGCGUGCCUCAGACAUGCAAGUCGAACGAUUAAAGCUCUCUUCGGAGAGUGUAUAGAGUGGCGCACGGGUGAGUAACACGUAAGUAAUCUACCCUCGAGUGGGGAAUAACGUCCGGAAACGGACGCUAAUACCGCAUAAUGCAGCGGCACCGCAAGGUGACAGUUGUUAAAGAUUUAUCGCUUGAGGAGGAGCUUGCGGCAGAUUAGCUAGUGGUAAGGUAAUGGCUUACCAAGGCUACGAUCUGUAACCGGUCUAAGAGGACGGUCGGUCACACUGACACUGAAUAACGGGUCAGACUCCUACGGGAGGCAGCAGUCGGGAAUUUUGGGCAAUGGGCGAAAGCCUGACCCAGCAACGCCGCGUGAAGGAU
rnacentral:rRNA from 1 species